rnacentral:rRNA from 1 species
GACGAACGCUGGCGGCGUGCUUAACACAUGCAAGUCGAACGGAAAGGCCCUGCUUUUGUGGGGUGCUCGAGAGGCGAACGGGUGAGUAACACGUGAGUAACCUGCCCUUGACUUUGGGAUAACUUCAGGAAACGGGGGCUAAUACCGGAUAGGAGCUCCUGCUGCAUGGUGGGGGUUGGAAAGUUUCGGCGGUUGGGGAUGGACUCGCGGGUUAUCAGCUGGUUGGUGGGGUAGUGGCUUACCAAGGCUUUGACGGGUAGCCGGCCUGAGAGGGUGACCGGCCACAUUGGGACUGAGAUACGGCCCAGACUCCUACGUUAGGCAGUAGUGGGGAAUAUUGCAGAAUGGGCGGAAGCCUGAUGCAGCAGCGCCGCGUGCGGGAUGACGGCCUUCGGGUUGUAAACCGCUGUCGACUGUGACGAAGCGGGAGUGACGGUAAUGGGUAAAGAAGCACCGGCUAACUACGUG